AGGGGGCUAUAACAUUGCCAAGUCGAACGAUGAUCCGGUGCUUGCACCGGGGAUUAGUGGCGAACGGGUGAUUAACACGUGAGUAACCUGCCCUUGACUCUGGGAUAAGCCUGGGAAACCGGGUCUAAUACCGGAUAUGACUUCCCGCCGCAUGGUGGGGGGUGGAAAGAUUUUUUGGUUUUGGAUGGACUCGCGGCCUAUCAGCUUGUUGGUGGGGUAAUGGCCUACCAAGGCGACGACGGGUAGCCGGCCUGAGAGGGUGACCGGCCACACUGGGACUGAGACACGGCCCAGACUCCUACGGGAGGCAGCAGUGGGGAAAAUUGCACAAUGGGCGCAAGCCUGAUGCAGCGGCGCCGCGUGAGGGAUGACGGCCUUCGGGUUGUAAACCUCUUUCAGCAGGGAAGAAGCGGAAGUGACGGUACCUGCAGAAGAAGCGCUGGUUAACUACGUGCCAGCAGCCGCGGUAAUAAUCGGAUC
rnacentral:rRNA from 1 species